rnacentral:rRNA from 7 species
UCAGAAUGCCACGGUGAAUACGUUCCCGGGCCUUGUACACACCGCCCGUCACACCAUGGGAGUGGGUUGCAAAAGAAGUAGGUAGCUUAACCUUCGGGAGGGCGCUUACCACUUUGUGAUUCAUGACUGGGGUGAAGUCGUAACAAGGUAACCGUAGGGGAACCUGCGGUUGGAUCACCUCCUUACCUUAAAGAAGC